CUAUCUUUAAUAACAAAAAAGUUAUGCAAAAUUUUCGAUCUAAAAAAGUACAUGUUAAUUGUAAAAAACCGAAAUUUCGAUUUUUCUCAAAAACUAUAAUUUUUUCAAUUUUGAUAAUUAUGUGCAAGGUGCCCCUUCGCUAGGAGUACUUGACAGUUUUUAAAUGAAAGCUCUAUCUUUAAUAACAAAAAAGUUAUGCAAAAUUUUCGAUCUAAAAAAGUACAUGUUAAUUGUAAAAAAACCGAAAUUUCGAUUUUUCUCAAAAACUAUAAUUUUUUAAAUUUUGAUAAUUAUAUGCAAGGUGCCCCUUAGCUAGGAGUACUUGACAGUUUUUAAAUGAAAGCUCUAUCUUUAAUAACAAAAAAGUUAUGCAAAAUUUUCGAUCUAAAAAAGUACAUGUUAAUUGUAAAAAAACCGAAAUUUCGAUUUUUCUCAAAAACUAUAAUUUUUUAAAUUUUGAUAAUUAUGUGCAAGGUGCCCCUUCGCUAGGAGUACUUGACUGUUUUUAAAUGAAAGCUCUAUCUUUAAUAACAAAAAAGUUAUGCAAAAUUUUCAUUCUAAAAAAGUACAUGUUAAUUGUAAAAAAACUGAAAUUUCGAUUUUUCUCAAAAACUAUAAUUUUUUAAAUUUUGAUAAUUAUGUGCAAGGUGCCCCUUUGCUAGGAGUACUUGACAGUUUUUAAAUGAAAGCUCUAUCUUUAAUAACAAAAAAGUUAUGCAAAAUUUUCGAUCUAAAAAAGUACA